CAGACAGAGAAGGACCCCCAAGGAAUCAAGUUUACCCCCACUCAGAGGGUCUAAAGAGGGGAAAAGACUUGCAGGCAGCUAGGAAGAUCAGCAUGAGUUAAUAUCUGAGUUCUAACACUUUGAUGUAGGUGGUUACUUGGUGUCUCAGUAUCCAAGUUAAUCUCAUUUAAAAUGGAUACCGGAAUUACUAUUAAAUAAUAAUUAUUGACAUUGCAACAGUCUGCCAGAUAAAGAAGAGAGCAAAAUCUGAGGUCCAUGGUGUGGGCUGGAUGACUUGACUAAGGUGGUAAAACUAAAUCAAACCUAUAUCUCAAACCUUGGCUAUUUGGUCUGAACAUUUGUUUCUUCUCUCCAGGUGGCACCAAGUGUGAUCAGAAGCCAUGCCACUGGUGAAGAGGUAUAUUGAACCCUGCCUGGCCCAGUGAGGUUACUAGAGAAUUGGGAGAGGCUUAGAUCAAUGUCCUGCGCAUGGCUAUCUCCUCAUUGUGAAGUCUUGUCACAGAAGCUGCAAUGAAUUCUCUCAUGGCCCUGAAGUAUGGUUUGUUCCCAUGGAGAAGAACCUAACAGAAGAUUGAUAGCGUGGACAUUUCUGGCAUCAGGGAUGAGGAAGUGCUUCCUCCAUCCUGCAAGCUUCUGGGAACUCAGUGCCCAUUGUGUACAGGAUAUGUACCCAUUGAAGACCUUCAUGCCCUCCAAUAUAAGGCUAACUGUGUUCUCACUACAGAAGUUUAGAAUCAGAGAGUUUCUUCUCUCUGCUGCCUUUUGAGCUGCGGCACUAUGCUGGGAGAUGGGACUAUGGAGACGAAUUUAGGCACAGUCCCUGCCCUCAGGUGUUCUCAGUCUAGUGAGAGGGUUCGACGUGUACACAGAUAAUUACAACAGUAUGGUAUGCUCUACAAUGGAGGUAUGUACAAGAUACUAUGGGGUUUAGAAGAGAAAUCAUUUGAUUGAGUAUAGAGAUGCCAGAGGUUGGAGAAACUGAUGCUUAAGUGGCUUAAAAGAAGUUAACGCUAGACUAGGAAGAAGACAGGGAAGUACCUGUUAAACAUAGGUGUGGACAUUGGAGAUAGAAUGAUGACAUGGGGGAACUACAAGUAGUUCCUAAAAUUCAGACGUGGGCUGACACUAGGUCCUUAUGUAGUAUUCAAUGAAAUAUGGAUUUCAUUUUGAGUGUUUAAGUAGGAGAUGCUUUUGAUGGUCACUCUGGCAGUAUUCUAGAGUAUGUUCUGGAAGAUACUCAGAUCUGGACAGGGAGAUUAGUUAGUAGGUAAGAUGAUAAAUUACCUAAGGCCAGAAGGAGUGGGAGUGGAGGAAUGGAGCUAACCUCUUAAUGAGAGGCUGUAC
rnacentral:lncRNA from 1 species